GCCACCACCGUAGAUAGCAACAGAUGGUUCCGGAGAAGUUCUUCAUCUGUAUGCUCUACACAAUAAGCCUCCUGAGAAAGGUUGGUACUCGCCCACUGAUUUCAUCCAUAUGAUUUGAGCUUUGUCAUCUCUAUUGGUGUUGUGCUACUGUUUAGAUACUGUCAUGAAAAAGUGGUAUUGUCCUUGAGAAGUGCUUCAUCUGAGCUGUUUUAAAUAUUUCUUUUCCUUUUUUUCGAGCAAAUAGGGAUGCUAGCAUUUAGUUGUCCUCUUGUCUUUGCACAACAGGAUCAUCUUCCUCUGAAGAAGAAUAUGGACUACGUGAAAUGACUAGUUCCGAUUAUGCCAGUAUGAAGAAGCCCUGUCUAUCUUCUCAUCAGAAGGAGCAGUUGAAGGAUGGUUACAUUACUCCCCACAAGACCAAACUAACUUCAGCUCAGAAGGACUAACAAAUCUCCAUUUUUUUGCUAUGAUGCGCGAGUACAAUGUUGUUCUAGGAUUCUUUCUGGCGAGUUCCAUUUUUCUAAAAGUGUGGUCUACAUGGACCAUGUAGGUGCCUGUUUAAACUGUCAAUUCAUAGUACAGUUUGCUUUAUACUAAUCACUUUUUUUGUAUUUGUGCAAACAGGGGUGCUCAUCUUGAUUUCAAUGGGAACUGCACAAAAUGUUCAUGAAUACAUCGAAUCAUUCAUUUCCACCACAAGAAAGGAGGUGCCGAUAAGUUAAAGGCGUUGCAACAUAUAAGGGCGAAAUCAUACAAGCUACGCGCGAAUUUGGUUGAUUUUGGUGGAACUGCAGAAAAAGAACAGCUGGUUUAUUUAGCACAAGGUGCCAUGUCAAUGUCCAAACUGAUGGCAAACCCUGCCCAUUCCACAAUUGUAGGCAUUUGAUAUUUUGGAAUGGGACAACCUUGUCAAAUUUUGCUCAUUGAUUUUAGCAAGACAUGCAUUUGAUAUUUUCAAAUGGGACGCCCUUUGCUGUCAGCAGCGUUGAUCAUUUUUUUCUUUAUUCUUUAGUUGUGAAGCAAAUAUUGCCUCUGACAUGUGAGUCGCUGAGAUGCAUAAUCAUCGAUUGUUUUAAAUGUUC
rnacentral:lncRNA from 1 species